rnacentral:rRNA from 1 species
CACGUAGGGCGCAAACGUUGUCCGGAAUUAUUGGGCGUAAAGAGCUCGUAGGCGGUCUGUUACGUCUGCUGUGAAAACCCGGGGCUUAACCCUGGGCUUGCAGUGGAUACGGGCAGACUAGAGGCAGGUAGGGGAGAAUGGAAUUCCCGGUGUAGCGGUGAAAUGCGCAGAUAUCGGGAGGAACACCGGUGGCGAAGGCGGUUCUCUGGAACGCAACUGACGCUGAGACGCGAAAGCGUGGGGAGCAAACAGG